ensembl:lncRNA
AACUUUGCUGUUUCAGUGUUGCUCUAUUUCUUAGAGUAUUUUUUUUGUUUGUUUUUUGUUUUUUAGUAUGUCAGUUUUAAAAAGUUAAAUCUCAUUUUAUCACAAAGGUUAGCUCCUAAGGUGCAAACUCUAUAUUGUACCUAUAAUCACGCAUUCGACUUAAGACUCCCUGGUGGGUUGCAAGCUGCUGGGAGGCCUCUUUCAUUGUGCUUCCCUGGGUCAAGUAAAAAGUUAUAACCAAGUAAUCAAGGUGAAUCCCAAGUAUAGGUAUAGGUAUAGGUAUAGGUACAGGUAUAGGAAUAGGUAUAGGUACAGGUAUAGGUAUAGGUAUAGGUAUAGGAAUAGGAAUAGGAAUAGGUAUAGGUAUAGGAAUAGUUAUAGGUAUAGGAAUAGGUAUAGGAAUAGGUAUAGGUAUAGGAAUAGGUAUAGGUAUAGGUAUAGGUAUAGGAAUAGGAAUAGGUAUAGGAAUAGGUAUAGAUAUAGGAAUAGGUAUAGGUAUAGGAAUAGGAAUAGAUAUAGGUAUAGGAAUAGAUAUAGGAAUAGGUAUAGGUAUAGAUGUUUUGUGGUGCUAGGGAUCAAACCAGGAUUUCGCAGACACUGGGCAAACACUAGCCCUGAGUUAUUACAUCCCCAGCCAGAAGGUACUAAUGUUUUAGUUUUCUCUGGAUAAACUUUAUGAAUAAAGUUAUCAAGACAGGCUUCUCCUUUUACAUUGAAGUCUAACUAAAAACUCAAGCAGUUUAGAGCAUAGAUAUUAUAACUGUACAGUGGCGUUUGGUAAUAGAAAUUUGUUGGAAAGACUAUUCAAAGUAAGACCUCAUUUUUCUUUUAAAUAUUUUGGAUUUG